rnacentral:lncRNA from 1 species
UGUAAUAUAUCCACUUUCCCUAUCUCACAAAAUGUGUUCUAAAUUUUUUUUCUCUCUCUAAAAGCUUAGCUAGUAUUAUUUCCUUCUUCCUCAAUCCAAUGCCAUAAAGUAUGCUCUGAGAUUGCCUCUGCAAAGAAUCCUGCUCAUCAGAAAAUGGGGCAUGGAUAAGAUCCACGGAAAUUUCUCAUAAUGAAAAAGGGACUUAAUGUUAUAAUGUUAAGUUUCGUUCAGACCCUUUAAUCUCACUCGUUUGAUUAGAAAGAGUGAUCAGGAUAAGCGAACCAUGUAUUAUUCUAUUGUCAUCCUGAAGUACUGGAGAUCCACUCAUAUGGUAUUAACACAUUUUAGUAUAUUAUUCUUAUAAAUACAUUAUUAUUUAAAUAAUAACUGAAAAAAAGGAAGUACCAUUUUUUUAUAUAUAUUUUAUUAGUAGAAAUUUAGUUAGAUUCAGCCCUAGUAAUCAUCCUAUAUAGCUCUACUAAAAUCAGGGAUGACUCUAGAAUAUUU